AGUUGUGCUGGACUAGCUUUGCAUGGCGGGCUCCCUGCGCUUCGGCGUGGCUAACCGUCUUGGGGCAGUCUUUUCACUGGGCCUCCCGUCGUGCUCUUGUGGCCCGGGGGGCACGCUUGCAUAUCGGUCGUCUGUGUGGGUCUACCCGUCUGCGGUACGACGUUCGGUCUCAUGACGGAUCUCUGCUAGCCCCGUCGAUAUUCGCUAUUGGCGGGGCAGUCGUUCUGUUGGCAUUAUGCACGUGCUGUUGUGGGCGACGGCCUCGAUCCUGCUAGUGCAUUUUGCCGGCUCUCACGGAUGCCGUGCCCUUGAAGGAAUUCUCGGGCCUACUGGUCCCCUGAUUUUCACGGGUUGUCCCUUGCUCGUUCAGUGCUCCGCUGUCUCAUUGCCCGUGUGGCGAUGUCGGCGCGUGCGGGGCGUGCUGUGGCGCAAGUGAGAUGUUUAUCCGAUUGGCCGAGCGAUUGCUGCUCUCACGUUGUUCUCCAACAACGAGGCGGCUCUCGUUUAGGACGGGCUACCUGGUUGAUCCUGCCAGUAGUCA
rnacentral:misc_RNA from 1 species